rnacentral:rRNA from 1 species
CUAGUAAUCGCGGAUCAGCAUGCCGCGGUGAAUACGUUCCCGGGCCUUGUACACACCGCCCGUCACACCAUGGGAGUCGGUAACACCCGAAGCCUGUAGUCUAACCGCAAGGAGGACGCAGUCGAAGGUGGGAUUGAUGACUGGGGUGAAGUCGUAACAAGGUAUC